rnacentral:rRNA from 1 species
GAUGAACGCUGGCGGCGUGCUUAACACAUGCAAGUCGAACGAUGAAGCCCAGCUUGCCGGGUGGAUUAGUGGCGAACGGGUGAGUAACACGUGAGUAACCUGCCCUUAACUCUGGGAUAAGCCUGGGAAACUGGGUCUAAUACCGGAUAGGAGCGUCCACCGCAUGGUGGGUGUUGGAAAGAUUUAUCGGUUUUGGAUGGACUCGCGGCCUAUCAGCUUGUUGGUGGGGUAAUGGCUCACCAAGGCGACGACGGGUAGCCGGCCUGAGAGGGUGACCGGCCACACUGGGACUGAGACACGGCCCAGACUCCUACGGGAGGCAGCAGUGGGGAAUAUUGCACAAUGGGCGCAAGCCUGAUGCAGCGACGCCGCGUGAGGGAUGACGGCCUUCGGGUUGCAAACCUCUUUCAGUAGGGAAGAAGCGAAAGUGACGGUACCUGCAGAAGAAGCACCGGCUAACUACGUG